AGCAGGAGAUCUCCAUGGAGAAGAAGAAGGAUCACCAGCUAUGAGAAAGCUGCCAAUGUAUAACAUGCUAUCACUUUGAGCAUAGAUUAUUGAAGGCAGAAAGAGAAAAAUAUGAGGAAUUAUACAAGCCAUGGAAAUGUUGAUAGAGGUAACUCACUAGGAAGGAAGAGUUUUGUGCCUUGUGCAAUUUUGUUUUUCCACAAGGUUGUUUUGAUUGAAUGGUUUCUUUCCAAAGACUUUUUCAACAAUUUUUGAGACUGUUGGCUACUUUUUUCUUCAUUGUGAUGGACCCAACAAGUUGGAAAAUGCAAGUAUUUCAUAUAUAUUGUCUUGUUACUCUACUAGGAUGUUGAUGGGUGUGGGGCAGAGAUGGUUGAAGGCUUCCUCGGCUUUGUGUAAGUCCUUGGUUUAGUUUUCCUCAUCAAAAUUUCGUGCAGGUUGGGGUUUGUGGGAAUUCUUUCUUUCUUUUCUUUGAGAAAAUUGAUUAAAGGAUUUCUUUUGUAAGUCCAAAAUGAUUUUUACCAUACUUGUUAAAACACAAGUUUCUCGACCUCUUGCUUAUAUCAUCCUUCAACAUUUUUAUAAAAUUACCAUCACUUUAAUUCCUUUUCUCCCUUUGCCAAUUUUCAUGUCUUUUUUCUUCUCUUCUUCUCCGACACCUCUUGUUUCACUUUCACUUUCUUCUUCCUUUUCUUCAUUGAUGAGUGGACAGACUAGAUCCGACGAGCAACCAAACGAGAUCAGAUCUUUUGUUGUAGAACGAGACUCGAGUGUUGGAGAGUUGGAUCAAACGCGGAAGAGCAAGAAAGGAUAAGGGAGAGAGAUUGGCAAAUGAAUUUCGUUGCCUAAAUCCGUACCAAAUAUUUUACUGAAUCAUACACCAAGCACUAGUCUUAGUGAUAAGUUUGGGUCAAACUUAGGGAGCACAUCGAUUCCUCAAACAAAUUGAUUUCCAAUCGUAGAUAAUAGAAGAUAGAGUUGAAUUUAAUCGCAAGAAAGUAAAUGACAAAGAAAGAGUACACUAAAAAAAUUCUAUGUCAACAGAGUUUAGUUUAGCUCGGGGUUGAUGGAUUUUUACUAUUCUAUGCAUUUGAUCAUACUUUUA
rnacentral:lncRNA from 1 species